GACGAACGCUGGCGGCGUGGAUUAGGCAUGCAAGUCGAACGGUAUCAUCCUUUCGGGGGUGAGAGAGUGGCGAACUGGUGAGUAACACGUAGGUUAUCUACCCUCAAGACGGGGACAACCCAGGGAAACUUGGGCUAAUACCGGAUGUGAGCAACUUUUAGUUGUUUGAAAGGUGGCGUAAGCUGUCGCUUGGGGAUGAGCCUGCGUCCUAUUAGUUAGUUGGUGAGGUAACGGCUCACCUAGGCAAUGAUAGGUUAGGCGGCCUUAACGGGUGGUCGCCCACACUGGGAUUGAGAUACGGCCCAGACUCCUACGGGAGGCAGCAGUCGAGAAUAGUCUACAAUGGUCGGAAGACUGAUAGUGCGACGCCGCGUGAACGAUGAAUCCCUUCGGGGUGUAAAGUUCUUUUAUAUGUGAGCAGUGCUUCUUAUAUUAACAGUAUGGGGAGAGAGAUAUUAGCAUAUGAAUAAGCAACGGCUAACUCCGUGCCAGCAGCCGCGGU
rnacentral:rRNA from 1 species